UACGUAGGGUGCGAGCGUUGUCCGGAAUUACUGGGCGUAAAGAGCUCGUAGGUGGUUUGUCGCGUUGUUCGUGAAAUCUCACGGCUUAACUGUGAGCGUGCGGGCGAUACGGGCAGACUGGAGUACUGCAGGGGAGACUGGAAUUCCUGGUGUAGCGGUGGAAUGCGCAGAUAUCAGGAGGAACACCCGUGGCGAAGGCGGCACUCUGGGACGGUACUGACGCUGAGACGCGAAAGCGUGGGGAGCGAACAGG
rnacentral:rRNA from 1 species